rnacentral:rRNA from 1 species
UACGAAGGGGGCUAGCGUUGUUCGGAUUUACUGGGCGUAAAGCGCACGUAGGCGGAUCGAUCAGUCAGGGGUGAAAUCCCAGAGCUCAACUCCAGAACUGCCUUUGAUACUGAAGAUCUUGAGUCCGGGAGAGGUGAGUGGAACUGCGAGUGUAGAGGUGAAAUUCGUAGAUAUUCGCAAGAACACCAGUGGCGAAGGCGGCUCACUGGCCCGGUACUGACACUGAGGUGCGAAAGCGUGGGGAGCAAACAGG